rnacentral:rRNA from 1 species
GUGGGGAAUAUUGGGCAAUGGGGGAAACCCUGACCCAGCAACGCCGCGUGAAGGAAGAAGGUUUUCGGAUCGUAAACUUCUAUCCUUGGUGAAGAUAAUGACGGUAGCCGAGAAGGAAGCCCCGGCUAACUACGUGCCAGCAGCCGCGGUAAUACGUAGGGGGCAAGCGUUGUCCGGAAUGAUUGGGCGUAAAGGGCGCGUAGGCGGCCUGGUAAGUCUGGAGUGAAAGUCCUGCUUUUAAGGUGGGAAUUGCUUUGGAUACUGUCGGGCUUGAGUGCAGGAGAGGUAAGUGGAAGUCCCGGUGUAGCGGUGAAAUGCGUAGAGAUCGGGAGGAACACCAGUGGCGAAGGCGACUUACUGGACUGUAACUGACGCUGAGGCGCGAAAGUGUGGGGAGCAAACAGGAUUAGAUACCCUGGUAGUCC